rnacentral:miRNA from 1 species
GUUGGUGGAGAUCCAGU